rnacentral:rRNA from 1 species
UCUACGGAUUUCACCUCUACACCAGGAAUUCCACUUUCCUCUCUCGUCCUCUAGCCACCCAGUAUCCAAUGCACUUCCGGAGUUAGGCUCCGGGCUUUCACAUCAGACUUAGGUAGCCGCCUACAUGCGCUUUACGCCCAAUAAUUCCGAACAACGCUUGCACCCUCCGUAUUACCGCGGCUGCUGGCACGGAGUUAGCCGGUGCUUUUUCUGCAGGUACCAUCAAGUUUCCCUUUUUCCCUGCUAAAAGAGCUUUACGACCCGAAGGCCUUCAUCACUCACGCGGCAUUGCUGCAUCAGGGUUGCCCCCAUUGUGCAAUAUUCCCAACUGCUGCCUCCCGUAGGAGUA